rnacentral:rRNA from 1 species
AGAGUUUGAUCCUGGCUCAGAACGAACGCUGGCGGCAGGCUUAACACAUGCAAGUCGAACGCCCCGCAAGGGGAGUGGCAGACGGGUGAGUAACGCGUGGGAACAUACCUUUUGGUUCGGAACAACUGAGGGAAACUUCAGCUAAUACCGGAUAAGCCCUUACGGGGAAAGAUUUAUCGCCGAAAGAUUGGCCCGCGUCUGAUUAGCUAGUUGGUGAGGUAAUGGCUCACCAAGGCGACGAUCAGUAGCUGGUCUGAGAGGAUGAUCAGCCACACUGGGACUGAGACACGGCCCAGACUCCUACGGGAGGCAGCAGUGGGGAAUAUUGGACAAUGGGCGAAAGCCUGAUCCAGCCAUGCCGCGUGUGUGAUGAAGGCCUUAGGGUUGUAAAGCACUUUUGUCCGGGAAGAUAAUGACUGUACCGGAAGAAUAAGCCCCGGCUAACUUCGUGCCAGCAGCCGCGGUAAUACGAAGGGGGCUAGCGUUGCUCGGAAUCACUGGGCGUAAAGGGCGCGUAGGCGGACUCUUAAGUCGGGGGUGAAAGCCCAGGGCUCAACCCUGGAAUUGCCUUCGAUACUGAGNAGUCUUGAGUUCGGAAGAGGUUGGUGGAACUGCGAGUGUAGAGGUGAAAUUCGUAGAUAUUCGCAAGAACACCAGUGGCGAAGGCGGCCAACUGGUCCGAUACUGAC